rnacentral:rRNA from 1 species
UCAGAUUGAACGCUGGCGGCAGGCCUAACACAUGCAAGUCGAACGGUAACAGAAAGCAGCUUGCUGCUUUGCUGACGAGUGGCGGACGGGUGAGUAAUGUCUGGGAAACUGCCUGAUGGAGGGGGAUAACUACUGGAAACGGUAGCUAAUACCGCAUAACGUCGCAAGACCAAAGAGGGGGACCUUCGGGCCUCUUGCCAUCGGAUGUGCCCAGAUGGGAUUAGCUUGUUGGUGGGGUAACGGCUCACCAAGGCGACGAUCUCUAGCUGGUCUGAGAGGAUGACCAGCCACACUGGAACUGAGACACGGUCCAGACUCCUACGGGAGGCAGCAGUGGGGAAUAUUGCACAAUGGGCGCAAGCCUGAUGCAGCCAUGCCGCGUGUAUGAAGAAGGCCUUCGGGUUGUAAAGUACUUUCAGCGGGGAGGAAGGGAGUAAAGUUAAUACCUUUGCUCAUUGACGUUACCCGCAGAAGAAGCACCGGCUAACUCCGUGCCAGCAGCCGCGGUAAU